rnacentral:misc_RNA from 1 species
GGGCGGCUGCCAUCGCCGAGCUCGUGCUGUGGAUCGGCUUCUUGCGCUGGCGGCUGCAGACCGCGGGGGACGUGGGCCACCUGCCCGAGCCGAUCCUGGCGAACUACCGCAACAUCGAGCGGCGGGACGCCGUGCUGGCGUGGGACGCGAUCGAGCCGCUGCUGGAUGCGCGCGGCCAGCCCGUCACCCGGUGGGACGGCCGGACGACGAAGCCGCACCCGGUGACCGGCGAGCAGGUGCCCGACGAGACCGCGCGCAUCCCCGCGCAUCAUUACAUCAAUCCCCGCCCCGCCGAGUGGCCGGAGGCGGAGUUUGUGGUGGGGAACCCGCCGUUUGUCGGGAACAAGCGGAUGCGCGCAGUCCUUGGCGAUGGCUAUGUAGAUGCCUUGCGCUCGGCUUGUCCUGAUGUCCCAAACGCCGUUGACUACGUCAUGUAUUGGUGGGAUCACGCCGCAGGGUUGGUACAGGGCAAUAAGGUAAGGCGGUUUGGGCUGAUCACGACCAACAGCAUAACCCAGACAUUCAAUCGAAAGGUUGUCGGCACCUAUCUUCGAUCCAAGCAACCGAUCUCAUUGGUAUAUGCUGUUCCGGAUCAUCCCUGGGUGGACUCCUCCGACGGCGCCGCUGUUAGGAUCGCCAUGACCGUAGCAGGAAGAGGAUUGCUUGAAGGUGUACUGGCAAAGCCUAUUGAUGAGAAAGUGGAAGAUGGAGAUGCCGUAAGUGUCGUUUUCCGUGCUUCGCAUGGAGCAAUUCACGAAGAUCUCUCCAUCGGUGCGGCUGUAGCUACGACGGCUUCUCUCAAAGCGAACGAGGGCAUGUCGUUUCAAGGAAUCAUUCUUGUCGGCGAGGGGUUCAGAUUAUCGAAACAGGAUCUGCAGAGAUACGGCAUUAUGCAGGCCACUCUAGCUCCGGUUGUGCGCCGGUACAUGAUCGGCCGUGAUCUAGUUCAGCUUCCUGAGGAACGAUAUGUAAUAGACUUCUUUGGAUUGUCUCUGUCAGAGGCUCGCCAUUGCUACCCGAUGCUACUGCAAAAGAUCGCUGAUGAAGUCAAGCCGGCUCGUGAUGCCAGCAAUGACAGGAAAUUCCGAGAUGAGUGGUGGCUCUGGGGCCGACCCCGGCCCGACAUGCGGAGGGCGAUUUCUGGCUUGGAUCGAUACAUCGCCACUUGCAGAACUGCAACUCAUCGCGUAUUUGUUUAUCUGGACUCGGGCGUGAUGCCGGAUGCCAAGAUCAUUGCUAUCGCGCUCUCAGAUGGAUACCAUUUGGGUGUCCUUUCCUCUCGUAUUCAUGUUACCUGGGCAAAAGCUUCUGGAGCCUGGUUGGGAGUGGGCAAUGACUCCAACUACAAUCACUCCGAAUGCUUUG